UCGUGGGAAUAUGCCCAUUCCUUUGACGUGAAUAUAAAUUCCGACAGGGAUGUGAGAGUGGGUUGCUAUAUUCAAAAACAAAACAUAAAAUCCAAAUUCGAGGGAGAAUAGAAUGCUUUUCAAAGUGACAUUUUGUUGAGAUUUAUUUGGAAAUAAAUAUUUAUUUAGUUGAGCCUGGAUAGGCCUCGGGUCUAGACGGUGCCGGUCCAUCCUUUGUACUGGGAACCUUAUGGCUAUUAAGUAUCUUCGAGUUGCAGAACAGCAACAUUAAUUUGUCGGGCUUGUACAGGUGUGUACGGGUAUUCAAUAGUUUGGCAGAUCCUUUGACACAUCCUCUGGUCCUGCAAGAUGAUAGUCGAGGCGGCACAGAUGCCACUAUUUUCAUGGAUUCCUUUAUCACUGGAAAUGAUGGCAGUAAUGUCGUCUAGGCUGCCAUCUCAUAGAGUCGAAGGACACGAAGGAGUUGUCCGAGGACCUGGCCAACUUUAAAUGAUCGGAGUAGUGAUCGUUUUUUGUAUCUAUCCGGAUAGAGAUUACCUAUUGAAUGUUGCUCCAAGGCUGUGUUGAAUUUCAUCAAAAUUUACAAGAUAUAUUUGUAUCAAUAAAUUUGUAU